GCUGGGCAUGGUGGUGCAUGCCUAUAAUCCCAGUUACUUGGGAGGCUGAGACAGGAGAAUUGCUUGAACCCAGGAGGCGGAGGUUGCAGUGAGCCGAGAUGGAGCCACUGCACUCCAGCCUGGGUGACAGAGUGAGACUCUAUCUCAA
rnacentral:SRP_RNA from 2 species